GGUUCGAUUCUGGCUCAGAUUGAACGCUGGCGGGAUGCUUUACACAUGCAAGUCGAACGGCAGCACGGGCUUCGGUCUGGUGGCGAGUGGCGAACGGGUGAGUAAUGUAUCGGAACGUGCCUAGUAGCGGGGAUAACUACGCGAAAGCGUAGCUAAUACCGCAUACGCCCUUCGGGGGAAAGCGGGGACCUUUCGGGCCUCGCACUAUUAGAGCGGCCGAUAUCGGAUUAGCUAGGUAACGGCUCACCAAGGCGACGAUCCGUAGCUGGUUUGAGAGGACGACCAGCCACACUGGGACUGAGACACGGCCCAGACUCCUACGGGAGGCAGCAGUGGGAAUUUUGGACAAUGGGGGAAACUCCCUGAUCCAGCAUCCCGCGUGUGCGAUGAAGGCCUUCGGGUUGUAAAGCACUUUUUGGCAGGAAGAAAACGGCACGGGAUAAUACCCCCGUGCAACUGACGGUACCUGCAGAAUAAGCAAUUGGCUAACUACGCGCCAGCAGCCGCGGUAUUACGUAGGGGUGCAAGCGUUAAUCGGAAUUACUACGUAAAGCGUGCGCAGGCGGUUCGGAAAGAAAGAUGUGAAAUCCCAGAGCUUAACUUUGGAACUGCAUUUUUAACUACCGAGCUAGAGUGUGUCAGAGUGGGAGGUGGAAUUCCGCGUGUAGCAGUGAAAUGCGUAGAUAUGCGGAGGAACACCGAUGGCGAAGGCAGCCUCCUGGGAUAACACUGACGCUCAUGCACGAAAGCGUGGGGAGCAAACAGGAUUAGAUACCCUGGUAGUCCACGCCCUAAAACGAUGUCAAUCUAGCUGUUGGGGCCUUCGGCCUCGGUAGUGCAGCUAACGCGUGAAGUUGACCGCCUGGGGAGUACGGUCACAAGAUUAAAACUCAAAGAAUUGGCGGGGACCCGCACAAGCGGUGGAUGAUGUGUGGAUUAAUUCGAUGCAACGCGAAAAACCUUACCUACCCUUGACAUGUCUGGAAUCCCGAAGAGAUUUGGGGAGUGCUCGCAAGAGAACCGGAACACAGGUGCUGCAUGGCUGUCAGCUCGUGUCGUGAGAUGCUGGGUUAAGUCCCGCAACGAGCGCAACCCUUGUCAUUAGUUGCUACGAAAGGGCACUCUAAUGAGACUGCCGGUGACAAACCGGAGGAAGGUGGGAUGACGUCAAGUCCUCAUGGCCCUUAUGGUAGGGCUUCACACGUCAUACAAUGGUCGGGACAGAGGGUCGCCAACCCGCGAGGGGGAGCCAAUCCCAGAAACCCGAUCGUAGUCCGAUCGCAGUCUGCAACUCGACUGCGUGAAGUCGGAAUCGCUAGUAAUCGCGGAUCAGCAUGUCGCGGUGAAUACGUUCCCGGGUCUUGUACACACCGCCCGUCACACCAUGGGAGUGGGUUUCUACCAGAGCAGUUAGCCCUAACCGUAAGGAGGGCGAUUACCACGGUAGAUUCAUGACUGGGGUGAAGUCGCAACAAGGUAA
rnacentral:rRNA from 1 species